ACCACAAAGGGUGUUGGUUCAUUUUAACGGCAGGACGGUGGUCAUGGAAG
rnacentral:rRNA from 14 species